rnacentral:rRNA from 3 species
AUAAUCAGUUGGCUUAUAAUUGAAGUCUGGUAUGAAAGGGAAUUCGGGGUGUUACUAUCUUAAAAUAAUAAACAUGAAAUUACUUAAUAAGUGAAAAUUCUUAUAAUAAUAAAAUAGACGAGAAGACCCUAGAAAUUUUUACAAAAUUAACUUUUUUUUUGUUGGGGCGACAGGAUAACAAAGAACUUAUCUACAUAAUUAAGAAAUUUAUAUAUAGUGUAACUAAAUUACUCUAGGGAUAACAGCAUAAUAUUGAAAAGUUUGUGACCUCGAUGUUGGACUAGGAAAUGUAUUACCUAAAAGGUAAUAUAAUUGGCCCUGUUCGUGCUAUAAUAUCCUACAU